rnacentral:antisense_RNA from 1 species
CUUCACCGAGCCCAGCAACAGGGGUUGCCCGUCGCGACGCCGCGCCCCGUAGGUCGCCAGCAGCGCCUGACCUUC